GACGAACGCUGGCGGCGUGCUUAACACAUGCAAGUCGAACGGAAAGGCCCUGCUUUUGUGGGGUGCUCGAGUGGCGAACGGGUGAGUAACACGUGAGUAACCUGCCCUUGACUUUGGGAUAACUUCAGGAAACUGGGGCUAAUACCGGAUAGGAGCUCCUGCUGCAUGGUGGGGGUUGGAAAGUUUCGGCGGUUGGGGAUGGACUCGCGGCUUAUCAGCUUGUUGGUGGGGUAGUGGCUUACCAAGGCUUUGACGGGUAGCCGGCCUGAGAGGGUGACCGGCCACAUUGGGACUGAGAUACGGACCAGACUCGUACGGGAGGCAGCAGGGGGGAAUAUUGCACAAUGGGCGGAAGCCUGAGGCAGCAACGCCGCGUGCGGGAUGACGGCCUUCGGGUUGUAAACCGCUGUCGCCUGUGACGAAGCGUGAGUGACGGUAAUGGGUAAAGAAGCACCGGCUAACUACGUG
rnacentral:rRNA from 1 species